AGAGUUUGAUCCUGGCUCAGAAUCAACGCUGGCGGCGUGCCUAACACAUGCAAGUCGAACGAGAAAGUGGAGCAAUCCAUGAGUAAAGUGGCGCACGGGUGAGUAACACGUGACUAACCUACCCUUGAGUGGGGGAUAACCUAGAGAAAUCUGGGCUAAUACCGCAUAAUACCUUCGGGUCAAAGGAGCAAUUCGCUUAAGGAGGGGGUCGCGGCCGAUUAGUUAGUUGGCGGGGUAAUGGCCCACCAAGACUAUGAUCGGUAUCCGGCCUGAGAGGGCGCACGGACACACUGGAACUGAAACACGGUCCAGACUCCUACGGGAGGCAGCAGUGGGGAAUUUUGCGCAAUGGGGGAAACCCUGACGCAGCAACGCCGCGUGGAGGAUGAAGUCCCUUGGGACGUAAACUCCUUUCGAUCGGGACG
rnacentral:rRNA from 1 species